AAAAGUGGGGGUUAAGGGGAGAAUAUUCAUAUAUGUACGUAUGUGUUAUUCAUUUGUUUCUUCUUCAAGAAAUAACCGGCAAUUAUAUUUUGCUUUAGUUCAUUCGUUAUUUGAAUUCUGUUCUUUGUGCGUCGAAGUCCAAAGUCAUUUUGUCUGUAUAUUGAAAAAAUAUAUAAAAAAUUCCAAUUCCUCAAAUAUGGCGUCUUAUAUAGUGCUUAAAGUUAAGAAUCUUAUUACACCAAAUAGCCACAUCUGUUCGAUUGAUGGUUGGGAUUUCGAACUUUUUCAAAAAUUUCAAAAAUUUUGCAAAUUAAAUUCAUUGGGUUUUCCUUUACAACACGUGUAUGUACAUUUAAAAGCCAAGUUGAUGGACAAAAUAUAAUUUCCGCGAAUGUUGCACAUAAAGGAGAUACUUGGGGAAUAUGGACGUUGGAAAAAAAAAUUUAAAAAACAAAAAAUAUUUUAAUAUCUGAUUGAAAAUCAAACUAUAUAUGUACAGAAUGGUGUUCAACAUAUACUUUCAUAUUAUUAGUUAAAGUUUAAAAAAAUGUUUAAAAUUAUAAUCAAAGUGUAAAAGUGAAAACGAUUUUGAUUGAUUUCU